ACGCAGUGCAAGCAAGUGCUGCAGCUCAAGUGUCAAUUUACUUCAUCUAACUUUAAUGCCAGUGGGAACAUACGCAAACCCUUGCAGCUGAGGAGCCCAAAGCAUCUUGCAAAAACCCAGUGAAUGAAUCCAUCCUUCCAACCCCCCAGGAGGAUCUUAGCCCAUGUUGCAGAUGGAGAAGCUAGUUUUAAGACUUCAGGACACGUGGAUUUAAAAGGCCCACAAACAGGAUCCCCCCGUGGCUAAAUCCUCCAAGAGCCCAGCGAUACAGGCUUGAGACAAAAGGAACAGUAUUACAGCAUAGAUGCAGGAGGAAAGUGGGCAAUAAAUGCUGCCAAUCAAUGAGAGAGCGAGAGAUCAAGCAAAAAGCAUUGGAUACUAUCCCAUUUAUCUUCAUUCUACAGUGAUCAGUAUGGAAAGAUUUAGGCAAAGAACUUGACUGGAAGACACAGCACUCAUUGGAAAUCACUACUGGGAUUACUAACAGAAUCAAGCAAUGUGCUUGGCAGUGACUGAAAGUUAUAGCAAGUUAAGUAUCAUGAUUUGAAAAGAAGUCUAAUAAAUAAACAUUAAUAUUGUCAAGUUGUUUAUCCAGAUGACAAAGCUACUGUAACUGCCCUGACUUUUUUGACCCUGUGCUUGAAAUUGAAAACAAAAAUAUUGUAGA